CACGUAGGGCGCAAGCGUUGUCCGGAAUUAUUGGGCGUAAAGAGCUCGUAGGCGGUUUGUCGCGUCUGCUGUGAAAACUCGGGGCUUAACUCCGGGCCUGCAGUGGGUACGGGCAGACUAGAGUGCGGUAGGGGAGACUGGAAUUCCUGGUGUAGCGGUGAAAUGCGCAGAUAUCAGGAGGAACACCGGUGGCGAAGGCGGGUCUCUGGGCCGAUACUGACGCUGAGGAGCGAAAGCGUGGGGAGCGAACAGG
rnacentral:rRNA from 1 species